rnacentral:rRNA from 1 species
AACGGAUCUCUUGGUUCUGGCAUCGAUGAAGAACGCAGCGAAAUGCGAUACGUAGUGUGAAUUGCAGAAUUCAGUGAAUCAUCGAAUCUUUGAACGCACAUUGCGCCCUUUGGUAUUCCAAAGGGCAUGCCUGUUCGAGCGUCAUUU